AUUGAACGCUGGCGGCAGGCCUAACACAUGCAAGUCGAACGAGUGGCGGACGGGUGAGUAAUGUCUGGGAAACUGCCUGAUGGAGGGGGAUAACUACUGGAAACGGUAGCUAAUACCGCAUACCAUCGGAUGUGCCCAGAUGGGAUUAGCUAGUAGGUGGGGUAACGGCUCACCUAGGCGACGAUCCCUAGCUGGUCGGAGAGGAUGACCAGCAACGCUGGAACUGGGCCACGGUCCAGACGCCUACGGGAGGCAGCAGUGGGGAAUAUUGCACAGUGGGCGCAAGCCUGAGGCAGCCAUGCCGCGUGUAUGAAGAAGGCCUUCGGGUUGUAAAGUACUUUCGGCAGGGAGGCGUUACCCGCAGAAGAAGCACCGGCUAACUCCGUGCCAGCAGCCGCGGUAAUAC
rnacentral:rRNA from 1 species